CCUACGGGUGGCAGCAGUGAGGAAUAUUGGUCAAUGGGCGAGAGCCUGAACCAGCCAAGUCGCGUGAAGGAUGAAGGCCCUACGGUUUGUAAACUUCUUUUAUAUGGGAAUAAAGUGAGGCACGUGUUCCUUUUUGUAUGUACCAUAUGAAUAAGGAUCGGCUAACUCCGUGCCAGCAGCCGCGGUAAUACGGAGGAUGCGAGCGUUAUCCGGAUUUAUUGGGUUUAAAGGGUGCGUAGGUGGUUCAUUAAGUCAGCGGUGAAAGUUUGUGGCUCAACCAUAAAAUUGCCGUUGAAACUGGUUGACUUGAGUAUAGGUGAGGUAGGCGGAAGGCGUGGUGUAGCGGUGAAAUGCAUAGAUAUCACGAAGAACUCCGAUUGCGAAGGCAGCUUACUAAACUAUAACUGACACUGAAGCACGAAAGCGUGGGUAGCAAACAGGAUUAGAUACCCCUGUAGUC
rnacentral:rRNA from 1 species